GGAGCCUUAGUUCAGUGGUAGAAUAUGUGCUUUCCAUGCAGAAGAUCCCAGGUUCAAUCUGUGGCAUAUCCA